rnacentral:rRNA from 1 species
GACGAACGCUGGCGGCGUGCUUAACACAUGCAAGUCGAACGGAAAGGCCCUGAUAUUGUGGGGUGCUCGAGUGGCGAACGGGUACGUAACCCGAGAGUAACCUGCCCUUGCCCUUGGGAUAACUUUAGGAAACUGGGGCUCAUACCAGAUAGGAGCUACUGCUGUAUGGUGGGGGUUUGGAAGUUUCGGCGGUUGGGGAUCGACUCGCGGCUUAUCAGCCAGUUGGUGGGGUAUUGGCUUACCAAGGCUUUGACGGGUAGUCGGCCUGAGAGGGGGACCGGCCACAUGGGGAGUGAGAUACGGCACGGAGUCGUACGGGAGACAGCAGAGGGGAAUAUAGCACGAUGGGGGGAAGCCUGAUGCAGCAACGCCGCGUGCGGGAUUACGGCCUUCUGGUAUUAGACCGCUUUCGCCUGUGACUAAGCGUGAGUGACGGUAAUGGAUAAAGAAGCACCGGCUAACUACGUG